rnacentral:lncRNA from 1 species
AUGCGUCCGCCUUUCGCCUCCUUCGUGCUUGCGGGGGUGGGGGACAGAGGAGUGCGGGGCAGCUUGGGAUUGCUUCGGGUCAGGCCGUGGAAACCAGGGGCUGCCCUUUGGGCGCUUGGGGACAGAAAGAAUACUCUCCAGCCCGGGACAUCUUGGAACUCCGCCUUCGCCUCCUUUCCUUCCCUUCCACCCUUCCACUCUCCUUUCCUCCCUGACUUCCUUUGGGGCCGGGUCCCCGCUCAGCCUCAGCGUUCUUUGUGUUCGGCCUCCCAAGUUGCCUGGGCAAUUCGGAAAAGUUGGCUUUCGCCUGCGGAAACGCUCCGGCUACGUAUUUGUGCCCUCCCUGCACAAGUCGCGGGCCCAGGAAGAGUUCGGUCGGGAGGGCACCCCGCUGGCACCUGUUGUGAGGCGGCAAGGAAUAGCGGCUCAGAAAAACGAACGAAGGCCGCUAGUAGGGACGGACAGACGGACGGGAGGCCACCGGGAACCGGCCCGGGAAGGAGCCCUCGCCCGGUCCGUAGCCUUGCGGCGGCCCUUCAAGCCCGGGGCUGGCGGGAAUGGGAUGGGGUGGACGGAAGAGUGCUCGGCUCUGGCCGGCGAAGGGCGGCGGCAGCUACCGCAGUACCCCACGUCUUUUCGCUUCGGCCAGGCUGCCGGGGGUGGCGAGGAGGAUUCGCAAGUCCUGGCCUGACCGACUUUCUCUCAGGCUUUGCUUUGGCUCUCUCUGAGCGAGGCGGGGAGUGGCCCCUGCCAGGGUUCAGGCACUCUCGGCCCGCCCUCCCAUCCCGGACUUUCGUUGCCCUCCUCCCUCUGUAUUUGCAGGCUGCCGUCUGUCCGACAAUCAGUCCCUCAGGUCCCGCUGGGGUCCGGCAGUCGGACCACUCAAUUAGGACUCCCUCUAACAGGGCUGUUUGCAUUUCCUUUAAGCAAGCCCGGGGCCUGGGAUUACCCCCUCUCCCACCAAAAGGAAAACCCAAGACCCCGCGUGGGGCGGUGGCGGCGGCAGCUUCCAGCCCAACCAGUCCUGGGGCUGGUGCGCCCCCACCGCCUCAGGCCCCCGUGAUCGCCCCACAGUCUCUUUGGCUUCGCGGAUUGAUCUCCCUCCUUGUUGAGUUAAUUCAACAAAGACUUUUUGCGAUCGCUUUGGAGUUUGUCUGA